rnacentral:tRNA from 1 species
GGGUCUAUAGCUCAAUUGGCAGAGCUGCGGACUUUUAAUCCGUAGGUUGUGGGUUCGAGUCCCACUGGACCCA